CCUGCCUCCGCCUUGCGUGCUUGGGGCGGCCCUGGCCCCAGAAGGGCCGCCAGCUGAAUUUUCCCGGACUAGAUGAGCUGUUAACCCCUGAAAUAUGGAUGCUUCUGGAAGCUGUGGAACAAGGAAGGCUGGCCCGCUCGGGCAGUUCCAGCCCAGAGCUGCGAUGGUCUUGAACAACUUGGAGGUGUUGGUGAUGGAUACAAUUAUCU